CACGUAGGGCGCAAGCGUUGUCCGGAAUUAUUGGGCGUAAAGAGCUCGUAGGUGGUCUUAUUUGUCUGGGGUGAAAGCCUUGAGCUUAACUCAAGAAGUGCCCCAGAAACGGUAAGACUGGAGUCCUGGAGAGGGUCGUGGAAUUCCCGGUGUAGCGGUGAAAUGCGUAGAGAUCGGGAGGAACACCAGAGGCGAAGGCGGCGACCUGGACAGGCACUGACACUCAACUACGAAAGCGUGGGGAGCAAACAGG
rnacentral:rRNA from 1 species